rnacentral:rRNA from 1 species
GACGAACGCUGGCGGCGUGCUUAACACAUGCAAGUCGAACGGAAAGGCCCUGCUUUUGUGGGGUGCUCGAGUGGCGAACGGGUGAGUAACACGUGAGUAACCUGCCCUUGACUUUGGGAUAACUUUAGGAAACUGGGGCUAAUACCGGAUAGGAGCUCCUGCUGGAUGGUGGGGGUUGGAAAGUUUCGGCGGUUGGGGAUGGACGCGCGGCUUAUCAGCUUGUUGGUGGGGUAGUGGCUUACCAAGGCUUUGACGGGUAGCCGGCCUGGGAGGGUGACCGGCCACAUUGGGACUGAGAUACGGCCCAGACUCCUACGGGAGGCAGCGGUGGGGAAUAUUGCACUAUGGGCGGAAGCCUGAUGCAGCAACGCCGCGUGCGGGAUGACGGCCUUCGGGUUGUAAUCCGCUUUCGCCUGUGACGAAGCGUGAGUGACGGUAAUGGGUAAAGAAGCACCGGCUAACUACGUG